rnacentral:rRNA from 1 species
UACGUAGGGCGCGAGCGUUGUCCGGAAUUAUUGGGCGUAAAAGAGCUCGUAGGCGGCCUGUUACGUCUGCUGUGAAAUCCCGGGGCUUAACCCCGGGCGUGCAGUGGAUACGGGCAGGCUGGAGGCAGGCAGGGGAGAACGGAAUUCCCGGUGUAGCGGUGAAAUGCGCAGAUAUCGGGAGGAACACCGGUGGCGAAGGCGGUUCUCUGGGCCUGUACUGACGCUGAGGAGCGAAAGCGUGGGGAGCGAACAGG